rnacentral:lncRNA from 1 species
UUUUUGAUAAUUUUUACAUUUUUGAGAUCAUUGCUUUGAAUACUAGCUAGCCCAUGCUUGAAUUUUUGAAUUGGUUGUGUAUUUUGUGAUUUUCCAUUGAUGAGAAAUUGUUUUUUUUUUUUUUUGUUGUUUGAUGAUGGAAAAUAAAUAUAUGUGGUUAGAUUGUCAAGUUUAAUUAAGUAAUUUUUAGUAAAAAUGCCUAUUUAGGAUUAAAUUGUGAAUUUCAAAAAUGUAAGGGUCAAAAUGCAAAAUAAAUGAAAGGAAUGGGCUGC